AGCCUAUAUUGGACUAUAUCACAGGAUGUGGCUUAUCUGUUGUUUCUAGGCUUUAAUAAAUUCACAGUCCAGUGUAGAAGCCCCCUCAUUUCUCUGGAGGAGUCUAAGGAAGGCCAUCGCUCUUUUCUGAAAGAUCCAUCAGAUGAGACACAAAGCCUGAAUUCCAGCCCUUCCAAAAGCUGCAAGUUUUUUAAUGACAGUGACGAUGGCAUUGCCCUAUCCUGGUGGAUUACUUAGAACACUUCCAAGCACUUACAUAGUCAUGAUCUCAAAUGGCAUUUGGAUCACCGAGCUGACUCUUGAGAAGCUGUCAGUGUUACUGCAGAUGGCUUUGGCUCUUCAUUCACAUUCUCGGAUUCUUCUGCUGCUAGC